GAGGUUCUAGUUAAAUUAUAACCCUGCUUUGUCAAGGCAAACUUACAGGUUAGUCCCCUGUGUUCCUCC
rnacentral:tRNA from 1 species